rnacentral:sRNA from 1 species
UGACCACUUUCUGAGGAGAGUUAAGGCUACACGGACGGCCGGGUCAAAUGCCG